UGAAGCAGCUGGGAGUUUGUUGUUCUACAGAAAAGCAGUGCUGAUGCCUUAUCCAUUUUCAAUGCUUUUGCUGUGGGAAACAUUUAAAUUCUAAAAUGAGACUCUGGAAAAAUAAUGUUCAUAGAACACAUGCAAACAAGUAGGCAGGAAGGUCUCAGCUGGACCCCCUCUAAUCUUUUCUUGCAUAAGAGCUUGGAGGAGUCUGGCACUCACUAGAAUGUAAUCACUGGGCCUGAGGAGGCUACAUGAUAUAUUGUGCAGAACUAAGCAAGGGAAUAUGUAUGUAUAAACACAUUUGCACUGGCUUUUGUAGCACUCCCCUAUAGCAUGUUUAUUAUACUGUAUAAAUGGCAUUGCCUUAUACGGUAUACCACAAAGUCAUGAGCUCUGCUGUUACAAAUAAGGCAUAAAGACGUAAAUGGAGAAGUUUUGCUUAGCUCUGUUUGGUGAAACAGACUGUAGUAAUAAAGUGCAUCCAGCUGAAGUUGUUUUAGUAGGCUUUAAACAAAACUGUAUAAAAAAAAAUGUAUAGACAGUGCUUAUAACUAUGACAUCUGUGGACAAAUCAGUACUGAACAUAUACAACCGACAUAUCAACCCUACAAACAAACACAAACCAUCCUCCUGUCACACAAGGACUUUCAGGCAUUCACUCAGUUCGUCCUACUCCUCUAUUCUCUCAAACAAUUCUAAUUACAAAGCACACAAAUAGAAUGAACUUUCAUGUGUGUUUAACCCUCCCUGUUCUUUCCUUAUACCUUCAAACAGACUGUGUGUGGUAAAAUACAUGUAACGUGCGGAGCAGAGUCAUUGUUUACAUGCAAUCCUGGGUUUUCAAGCCCUCAGUAAUAGACUCGGCAGCUGUGUGGCUGAGGUUGUCAAGACCAUUGAGAUGUGUGGUCAGAUAAUGCUUGUGGUUAGGUAUUUGGCUUUCUGUGAUGCUGUUAUUUGACUAUGCCCUUCAGUGCUAUUUGACACUGAAUAGGUAGGUCAUUUUCAUAAUGCUUUUUUAAUAUUAUCCAUCAAAACAGCAGCCUGAACACUUUUUUUCCCAGCACCGCAGUACAAAAACCAGUGGGCUAGUGUUCAAACCUCAGUCUUCCAUUCAUCAUGAUUCAGUCUUCACCCUUUGACCAAAGAGAAGGUUUUGCCAAGGACGGAAUAUCUCAUGAACAUAUAACUGUUUGUUCUGCUGCCUGCUGAAGAGGUGAUGAUACCUUUUACUGUCCAUGUUCCUUAAUAGUUAAUGGAAAGGAAAAAGUAUUUGAGCUCAGUCUGUAGAUGGAGCACUGCCAGGAUUGGUAGGCUGCAGUGUAUUUAUGUUUUUUCCUCUGUCUUGGCAAAGGGGGUGAAUUUUCUUAAAAAGGAGAGAGAGAGAGAGAGAGAGAGAGAGAAAUGGAGAGAACAGGAGAUGGUGGGACUGUGUCUGCUCUGUCCUUUAGCCCUGGAUGACUCAUAACCAAGUCUUGAUGUAAACCAGUCAUCUGACACACUUUUCAGACUGAAUCAGGGAAACAGAAUGAGAAGAAUCAUCUCAUACAAAAAUGACCAGCCAUAUGAAGCUUGCUCCUGUUUGCAGGUGGAGAGCCAAAUUUCAGUGGUUACUUUCAUCCGUCAUCCUUAAAGCCCUUCUGGAGACGAUCUCUUGCAGAUGUUGGAUUUUGUUGCUUGGAGACACGGCAGCUGGGAGUUGUUAGCCUAGUGUGUUCUGCCAAACCUACGCUCCUUCCUAAACCACUCCCACAUCAAUGAGGCCCAAUUUCCACAGAAUAGCCAUAGUGUACCCUCUGGUAUUGUGUGUGGGCGGUUUACAGUUAAGUGGAAGUAGAAUUACAUAAUUUUUGCUCAGUACAUGUACAGGACAGCAAAUCACUAUCAUGUUGCUGGUUUAUGUUCAGCAAAUUAAAUCAAUAAUGAUAGGAGUAUUUGAUUCUAGCAUAUCAAUAAAAAAAAAGAAGCCUGUCCAUCUCAGGUGCAGUCUCCUUCAGCCUUUAAAGGCCCUUGAUAUCCUAAUCUGACAUGUAGCUUAUAGAACAGUGAGUACUGACUUUUUGCUGUAAAGCAGAACGUCUAUUAUGAAAUGGUAGGUCAGAUUUAGAUGUAAAUAAAAAGAAGAAAACAGUAGGGUGUAACUGGUAAAUAGAUUAAAUCAAGCAUACAGGAUAACCAGAUACUAAAAGAAAAAUAAAGGUUCUGCUUGAGAUCAUGUAAAAAUAAAAUCUGCCUUAUAGUAAUAUGCAUGUAGUUAGGGUUAUCCCAUUCCAAACCCAAUAUGCAGCAGUAUAGUUUGGUCUCUUUACUGCUAUAAAAGCCUCCAGUCUUUCAGGUAAGUAAAUUGUAAUGCUACAGAAUACAAAAACACAAUAUAGACAACUUCGUAGAAACAAUUAGGGAAAGAAGCACAUCUGGGUUUGAUGAUAUAUAUGUGUAUAUAUAUAUAUAUAUAUAUAUAUAUGUAUAAUAUAUAAUUUCAUGUAUGUAUCUAAUUUAAUGCUGGGCCUGUUCCAGUAUUCACAUGUACCAGAAUUCAUCUUACCAUUGCUGUGAGGACAAAGACUAAUGAACCCAAGAACUGGCAGGCAUAAUGCACAAGCCACCAGGUGCACUUAGUAUAGUUUAAUUUAUAAGCAGUUAGAUAGAAUGGAAUAGCUUGCCUUGGUUGAACACACAUGGUGUAUCUUCAUGCCUGUAAGGCAGAUGAUUUGUCAUAAUGUAGGGGGUUAACACAGCUAUAUACCCCUUAUAGAUAUAGUUUUCAUGCUAUCCACCAAAUUAAGAAUAGUGUAUUUUUAUAGCAGCAUGUAGUGAAGGACUACAGUAGUUCAUUAGAUAGGUCAGCUCUGCCCUGGAGGCUAAAUUGGACACUGUGGAGAGAACGGAAGAGAGGAGGAUGCUGGCAAAAGUGUUCAGGAAGAAUGUGUGGAUAACUCAUUUGUGAAUAACCACACUUCAUGCCAUACAUACAGAUAUUUUUAUUUUUAAAAAUUUUCAAUAUCUAUCUUACUUUGCCUUGUAUUUAUGUUAUCUUUAUUUUAUAUUGUUACUUUAUUAUUAUGUGUAUUUGUCUUUUUAUGUGUGCUGCUGGAACAUCCUAAUUUCCACUUGGGUUAUAUUAUAUCAUGUCUGUUAGAAUUAUAGUAACUUGCUAGCUUGUACACAAUAAAGAAAUUCACCCUUUUUUAAAUUCAGCUAGUUGCUCCAUUUGUUAGAACAACAGCAUCCUGAUAUGACUUGUUGGCUUUCUACAGAGCUCUAAUUUUCUGUGUAAGUAACAUUUAGAAAGUCCGCAAAUCAAAUUAGCUGCCGUUUACUCUACUAAUAGUUUUCCAUACAGUAGUCCAACUUUACCUCAGAGAUACUGGGCAUUUGACGCUAUUCUUGUGCUGUGGGUUUUCUCUGCAUGAGAAAGAUCACCAUGAAGCCUGCACAGUUUUCCAGGAGACAGUCCAUCAUAGGAAAGCUCUGAUGCAGUCUGAUGUAUGUUCCUGUUUUAUCAUAUCAUGACCCUCUCUAUAGGCAGUCCAGGCAACAUUCCCACAAUCUGGUUACGGUUACCAAAUUUUUUGACAUCAUCCUGGAACAAACCUUUACAGACACACACUACCAUGCUUGGUCAUGUACAAUCCCUCAACCUGGAUAGGGUCAAGGAGGCAUGGUUGUUAAAUCCUAACAUGAUUGAAAUUGCUAGGAUGGCAAAUCUGGACCAAAAUUUGUAGUUUUUUUUAUUUUCAUCUGUGUGGUGACCUUCUGCUAUAGAGAGCUCUCCUGACCACUUUCCACCUAAAUGUUCUGCCAAAACAACAUUCCCUCAGGAUUCCCUCUUUUUUCUAGUAGGGUGUUUUGAAUAAAAUAGAUGUUAUCAGAUUGCCUAAAUGUGUAAUUUUUUUGCAUGGUUAUAGCAUGUCUGGCAUGGUUAUAGCACCAUCCUCUUUCCAUGCAAAUAGUGAAGCAUAAUUUGUUGCAGGUGGCCCCAUUGAAAGAAACAUCACAAAGGGCACCAACCAGAUGAACCUGUCAAACCCUGGAGCAGCUUCUGGGUUGUUUGAGAGUCUCUCACAGUAGUUUCAGUGAGACAUUUUGUCCCAUGUACAGAGUAUGUCCCUUGUACAGAGUUCAGGGCAUUAAGUCUGAAUCUGUGAAGCUGAAGAAGAAGGUCUUCUGAGAGCUGUCCUGAUUUAUCUAAAACAUAAAGGAAGGGCUACAACAAAAGGAGCUACAGAAGCAAAAGCUGCAUUAUGGGAGAAAGACUUUUAAGUGACCUUAAAGAUGUUCUGGCAAACUGGAAAAAAACAACACAGUGUGAGGAACUGUUGACCUCUGCUAGGUUGAGACACUUCUUCUCAGAUGUUCAGCAAUAGAAGGAUCACAAUCAGGAACUUAAGUGAACCCAGUGGACAUGACCUCUCUUUAAAAACCCUCCCAGAACUCUUGGUACUUGGGAGUCUAUUUCAUUGGUUGAGGUUGUUUUCGCAGCUAGAAACCUUCAUAGUAGCAAGGCUGAAGGUUGGAUGAGAUUUGAAAAGAUGGAAAUCUGAUACAAUGCCUUGCAGUGGAGAGUUCUCCCUAUAUGUAUUAAAAAAAAGGGGGACCAUGGAGUUUCAACUGUAGGAGAAUCACACUCUUCAAGGAAACUAGAGGGCAGUCCAUCCAAUAGUUAAAGGGUUCAGCAAAAACAAUGUAUGAUCCACUAAGUAGUGAUUAAUGUGUGAUACACCCAGCUAGGUGAAGUAAUAUAUUGAAGCCGAUGUGCAGUGACAUAAAUUGUGACAAUCCACACAAAACUGUAUUUUAAGAAUUAGGAACUGACUUUUAAAUGUCGGAAGAACAUGACUUUAGAUGUUAUGUAAAAAACUUGACAUAAUACAGAAAUGUCAGUAAAAGCCUUUGAUAAUGGUAGAUAUAUUUCAAGAAAUAUAAAUGUACUGGCCACUUUAAUAGGAACGUCAAUGGCAAUGUCAUAAAAAUGUCAUCUGAUGAUUUCACUACCUUAGUGGCAGAUGAUUGUUUUGAAUAUUUUAGAAACUGCAAAUCUCCAGGGAUUUUCACACACAGCAUUUUGUAAAGUUCACACAGAAUAGAGCAAAAAACCCAGAAACAUCCAGUUCGCAGAAAAUGCGAAAUGGUGAUAACACGGAGGUGAACAGCCGGGCUGGUUCAAACUGACAGGAAGGCUACAGUAACUCAGAUAACCACUCUUUGCAAUUGAGGUGAACAGAAAAGCAUCUCAAAAGGAACAACACAUUGAACCUUUAUAAAAAAGGGCAUGUGCCGCUUUUCUUUAAAAACUCUAGUCCACAUGCAACUGCACAUUCCAGUGUGUACAGUUGAUAUCUGCAUUUCACCUGGAGAUUAAACAUUGAUUUAACUAAGCAAAUAGGUAAGAGCUUUCCACUGGAUAAUUAAUUCAUAUGUUUUAACCCUAACCAAUGCAUUGAGCAGCUUCUCAUUUUUUAAACUUUUAAGACUUACAGUUAUGUUUACUAGUGAAAGUAAGAGCAUUUCCACAUGCACAAUGUUAAGAGAACUCAAGGGAUUGGGACUAAACAGCUGUGUAGCCUUAUGAAAAUCAGUGAGUCUUAAUGGAAAAAAAGCUUCAAUUUGCUAGGGAGCAAUAAAGAUUGGAUGCUGGAGCAAUGGAAAAAAGUCAGGUGGUCUGCUGCGUCCGGAUUUACCCUGUUCCAGAGUGAUGGGUGUAUCCGGGUAAGAAGAGAAGCAGAUGAAGUGAUGCACCUAUCACGCCAAGUUUGUAUCGUACAAGUCUGUGGGGGCAGUUUUAUCAUUUGGGGUUGAUUCGGUUGGUCCAGUCUGGGUUCAGCAAUGUUAUGUGCCCAAAAAAUGAUCCUGGAUUCUGAAUGCCCAGGUUUAUAUAUACUGUGUUGCACAGCCAUAGUGCACCUGAGCUUCAAAACAAGCAUUUCAAUGUACAACUAUGCCUGAUAUUUUGUGCACAUGACAAAUGUACAUAAAAUUAAGGUUAAGAAUGGCUAGAUGGGGAUAUGUAAGUUAAGUUGUCUUUAUUUGACAACUUUAUUUGAAGACGUUGUUUCAUUUCACUAUGUACUGCAUCAGCUAUAUGUGGUUGAAAUAAAUAAAGCUUCUUGAAUCCUUGAAUCCUAUUUGUCAAAUAUACAUCACUGCACAGUGAAAUUCUUUCUUCUCAUCCUUGUAGGUUGGGGUCAGAGCACAGGGUCAGCCAUGAUACAGCACCCCAGGAGCAGGGUGGGUUGGGGGCCUUGCUCAAGGGAACUUGGCAGUGCUGGGGCUUAAACCCUGAUAUUCCAGUGAAUGACACAGAGCCUUAACCACUUGAGCUACCACCGCCCAGAGAAUAAAGGUAGAUGUAAGAAGAACUUCAGGCAUAAUCCUUCACCUAAAUCACAUUUUUUCCAUUAACAAAUUCUAUUAUAUCUUUUCCACAGGAUGUGACUGGUUUUUAAUAACUUCUCUUGCAAGACAUCAUAAGUAAAAGCUACAGUACAUCCUUGAUGUAUAAAAUCUCACUGACAAG